GAUGCUCCGAGCCCCUUCGCCUAAAGCGCAAGCCAUGGCGGCCGGGCCGGGGUGCAGCCGGAAACAGCUGCGCCUUCCGUAUUUGAAAAGGAGAUAGCGAAUG
rnacentral:ncRNA from 1 species